rnacentral:rRNA from 1 species
GACGAACGCUAGCGGCGUGCCUAAGGUAUGCAAGUCGAACGGGGGGCGCAAGCCCCACGUGGCGCACGGUCGAGUAACACGUAGACAACCUGCCUCCCAGUGGGGGAUACCCUCGCGAAAGCGGGGUUAAUACCNCAUACGCCCGGUCGGGGUCGCCUGACUGCGGCAAAGGCUUCGGUCGCUGGGAGAUGGGUCUGCGGCCUAUCAGCUCGCUGGUGAGGUAACGGCUCACCAGGGGCGACGACGGGUAGCGGGUCUGAGAGGAUGAUCCGCCGGACGGGGACUGAGACACGGCCCCGACUCUUCGGGAGGCAGCAAUGAGGAAUAUUGCGCAAUGGGCGACAGCCUGACGCAGCGACGCCGCGUGGGUGAGGAAGUCUUUC